rnacentral:rRNA from 1 species
GACGUAGGGUGCGAGCGUUGUCCGGAAUUAUUGGGCGUAAAGAGCUUGUAGGCGGUUUGUCGCGUCUGCUGUGAAAUUUCGGGGCUCAACCCCGAACUUGCAGUGGGUACGGGCAGACUAGAGUGUGGUAGGGGAGACUGGAAUUCCUGGUGUAGCGGUGAAAUGCGCAGAUAUCAGGAGGAACACCGAUGGCGAAGGCAGGUCUCUGGGCCAUAACUGACGCUGAGAAGCGAAAGCAUGGGGAGCGAACAGG